AGGCAGUUCCGACCCACACACCACAAUGGCUGAGGGGUAGGAGGCGGGUACACACUGAGGAUCAAUUGAACAAGUUGGGACUGUUCUCCCUGGAGAGAAGGAGGCACGGUGGAGAUUUAAUAGAAGAUAAUAAAAUCAUGAGUGGGCUGGACACAGUCGAGAGGGAGAAGCUGUUCCUGCUCAUACAAGCACCAAGAGGAGACAGAUUUAAAGUGAUGUGCGACCGCAGCAAAGCUCAAGACUCGAGGACACUACCCCCCUGUUGGAAUCCUGGCCUGGACCCACCAUCAAGCUGAAGAAAACACCGCGUGGAGUCACAGAUCGACUGAGACCACCACAGGGGACCCAGACCAACACUGAUGCAAACAGAUACCGAAGCCCCUGAAAAGACCCCCAGUUGCCUAACUAAUGUAAAUCGAACUUUAUAUUAAAUUUAAUUUAACUCUGAA